AGCGGCGGACGGGUGAGUAACACGUGGGUAACCUGCCCAAGAGACUGGGAUAACACCUGGAAACAGAUGCUAAUACCGGAUAACAACACUAGACGCAUGUCUAGAGUUUGAAAGAUGGUUCUGCUAUCACUCUUGGAUGGACCUGCGGUGCAUUAGCUAGUUGGUAAGGUAACGGCUUACCAAGGCAAUGAUGCAUAGCCGAGUUGAGAGACUGAUCGGCCACAUUGGGACUGAGACACGGCCCAAACUCCUACGGGAGGCAGCAGUAGGGAAUCUUCCACAAUGGACGAAAGUCUGAUGGAGCAACGCCGCGUGAGUGAAGAAGGGUUUCGGCUCGUAAAGCUCUGUUGGUAGUGGAGAAAGAUAGAGGUAGUAACUGGCCUUUAUUUGACGGUAAUUACUUAGAAAGUCACGGCUAACUACGUGCCAGCAGCCGCGGUAAUACGUAGGUGGCAAGCGUUGUCCGGAUUUAUUGGGCGUAAAGCGAGUGCAGGCGGUUCAAUAAGUCUGAUGUGAAAGCCUUCGGCUCAACCGGAGAAUUGCAUCAGAAACUGUUGAACUUGAGUGCAGAAGAGGAGAGUGGAACUCCAUGUGUAGCGGUGGAAUGCGUAGAUAUAUGGAAGAACACCAGUGGCGAAAGGCGGCUCUCUGGUCUGCAACUGACGCUGAGGCUCGAAAGCAUGGGUAGCGAACAGGAUUAGAUACCCUGGUAGUCCAUGCCCGUAAACGAUGAGUGCUAAGUGU
rnacentral:rRNA from 1 species